CUCUUGGCCAUUUGUCUUCCUUCCCAAGUGCCGCGUGCUCAGUGAGUGAAGAGGGUAAUCAAUAGGGCAACAAGGAAGGAGGGCAAGUAGCCUGCAGUUCCGCGCUCCAUGGAAAGCCCUGUUUCUUGCUGAGGUCUUGCAGUUUCCUGGAUCAUGCAACUCACCAGCAGUAGAUCAAGGAAAAGAGAUGGAUGGGGUUUUCCUCAGGAAGACCUUGUCUGGAAUCUAGUAUUGAAGCUGUGCUUGAUGAGUUGCUGCCUUGAACUUUUCCACUGA
rnacentral:lncRNA from 1 species